rnacentral:rRNA from 1 species
GACGAACGCUGGCGGCGUGCUUAACACAUGCAAGUCGAACGGGAACCUUUAUUUCGGUAAAGGUGAGAGUGGCAAACGGGUGAGUAACACGUAGGCAACCUGCCGACAGGAUGGGGACAACAUUCCGAAAGGAAUGCUAAUACCGAAUGAAGUCACCGGAGGCCAUCCUCUGGUGAUGAAAGAUGGCCUCUGAAUAUGCUAUCACCUGUCGAUGGGCCUGCGUCUGAUUAGCCAGUUGGCGGGGUAACGGCCCACCAAAGCGACGAUCAGUAGCCGGUCUGAGAGGAUGAACGGCCACAUUGGGACUGAGACACGGCCCAGACUCCUACGGGAGGCAGCAGUGGGGAAUCUUCCACAAUGGGCGAAAGCCUGAUGGAGCAACGCCGCGUGAGUGAAGAAGGUCUUCGGAUCGUAAAGCUCUGUUGCACGGGACGAAAACCGA